GACGAACGCUGGCGGCGUGCUUAACACAUGCCAGUCGAACGAAGAGCGAUGGAAGCUUGCCUCUAUCAAUCUUAGUGGCGAACGGGUGAGUAACGCGUAAUCAACCUGCCCUUCAGAGGGGGACAACAGUUGGAAACGACUGCUAAUACCGCAUACGAUCUAAUCUCGGCAUCGAGGAUAGAUGAAAGGUGGCCUCUACAUGUAAGCUAUCACUGAAGGAGGGGAUUGCGUCUGAUUAGCUAGUUGGAGGGGUAACGGCCCACCAAGGCGAUGAUCAGUAGCCGGUCUGAGAGGAUGAACGGCCACAUUGGGACUGAGACACGGCCCAGACUCCUACGGGAGGCAGCAGUGGGGAAUCUUCCGCAAUGGACGAAAGUCUGACGGAGCAACGCCGCGUGAGUGAUGACGGCCUUCGGGUUGUAAAGCUCUGUUAAUCGGGACGAAAGGCCUUCUUGCGAAUAGUGAGAAGGAUUGACGGUACCGGAAUAGAAAGCCACGGCUAACUACGUG
rnacentral:rRNA from 1 species